GGCGGAGAACGUAACAAGGGAGGCGGUGGCGGCGUCGCCGGUGGGAGCGGAGGCAGAGGGAGAGGUCGCGGUGGGGUUGGGAUCAGACGCCGAGGUCUGGCCCGGAGUCUUGGAGCGUUGGCCGCGGCCCUCGUCAUUCUUCUCGGGAGCCAUGAGAGAGAGAGAGAGAGAGAGAGAGACGCAUCCCCGUUUGCUGGAAGGCCCAUAGCUUUAUAGAGAGAAUUUAUUACCAAAUCCC
rnacentral:lncRNA from 1 species